rnacentral:rRNA from 1 species
UACGGAGGGUGCAAGCGUUGCUCGGAAUUAUUGGGCGUAAAGGGUAGGUAGGUGGUCUCAUUUGUCUGGGGUGAAAGCCUUGAGCUUAACUCAAGAAGUGCCCCAGAAACGGUGAGACUGGAGUUCUGGAGAGGGUCGUGGAAUUCCCGGUGUAGCGGUGAAAUGCGUAGAGAUCGGGAGGAACACCAGAGGCGAAGGCGGCGACCUGGACAGAUACUGACACUGAACUACGAAAGCUGGGGGAGCAAACAGG